CCAACCUCCAAGUCUAAGAUAAUAAAACAAGCAUACAUAGACAGACUAUUUCAUUUUGGAGGAAAGCACAAAGAGGUAAAGCAUUAAGGCAAGCAAAGAUUUUCAUUAUCCUCAUCAGAAAUGUCUCAUUCCAGUCUAUUAUUAAACUUAUGGCUAACUUCUCAAUUGCAUUACAGAAAAAGCAUGGAUAUAACUAUUAAAUUCAAGCUACCGAGUCAAAUAAUGGAAAUACAGCUCAAGAGUGAAGAUUAACAAUUAAUAGGCACUUUGAAGAGGAUUCACUUUAGUCUUCCUUGUGGUAUCCAACAAAGGGAGACCACAGUCACUGAUAGAAGACUGCUGUCUUGUAUGUUUUUAAAUCAACAGAAUGACUAGAGUGGAUAUAUGGACAUCUGCUCAUUUAAUCAAAAGAAUUUUCCUGUAGAUAUCAGAGGCAUUAUGUUCUUCCACCACUGGAAACAAAUCUAUGAAACAAACCAUGAUUAACCACCAAACUAAGCCAUGCACCUAUCAAAAAGUGAUAAAAUACAGUGGCAAGAAAAGUAGUGAAAUAAAAACAUAGGGUACUGAAAAUGGGGCAAAUGUGCAAAUAAAUUUUGGGGAGUUAAACUAGUUAUCACAUACCCUUUCCAAAAUUCAGACAACCCUAGUUAAUACCAUUGAGGAUGGCAACAACUUUAUCUAGAACAAUCUGGAGAAGCAUUCAUGGAAACUAGCAGUGGCAAUGUCUCUUGAAUAAAAGCCUAAAGAAUUCUGAAUAAAAUCUGUGCACACACCCUCAAGUUAUCUCACGUAUAUUAUAAAACACUUACCAUUUCAUAGCACUUCUACUCCUCCUCAUUGUUUUCAUGUAAAUAAGUGACAUUAUUUUGCAAUGUGAAAUUUCUAACUUUUUUCCAAUGUUUACAAAAAUAAAUCUUUUUUUAAAAAUAUAGCUCAAGAGUGUAAAUCUGUUCUUUUUCCUGAAUAUUAUUGAUUUAUUAAAGAAAGGUUACCAUACCAGUUGUUUUGCAACACAAGUGAUUUCUCGGCUGAAAACUACUUUUCACAACCCUCCCUCCCCACACACACAUACUUGUAGAAUAUGUUAUUAAGUCUAGCGGAUUGUCACAAUAAGUUAUAGAGGUCAGUCUGGCCAUAGUGGGGGAGCAGGGAGACUAAUGUAUUUUAGAAAGACAUUCCAAGUUACUGUUUAACACCAUUCAACAUGUACAGAAAAAGGUUAAUACUGAUAAAAAUAGUAUUAUAAUUUAUUCUUCUAAUUAUAGGUUAUCACAAACAAUCAUUUGAUUUUACUGAAUUUACAAAGAUAAAAUUAUUUUCACAUAUACGAUACUAGUGGAAUAUGAGCUCACAUGCUUUCUUUUGAUUAGUUAUUUAAUUAAAUGAAAAUUUCAAGCUAAUUAAGGAAAUUCCUAAGAAAUCUCUUUUUGUGAACCAGUGACAUCUUUUAAAACAUAGUAAACAAGGGAGAUAUGGCCAGCUUGGCACUGCUACAAAGGCAGUUUGAUGUGGACAUUUUAAUUUCAGGGCAUACACAACAAAUUUGAGGCAUUUGAGCAAGUUAUUCCAACUUGUUCUUUGAUAGAAUGUUUGAUAGGAGUCUUUAAUUACAAACAUAUACAAAUGGAAGGUGGUAAAUCUAGAAACCGUGUCAUUUCAAAGACCAGAACACCUCCCCCCUGUGCAAGUACAGACAUGACUGUUAUCUCAAGAAAAUACACUUUUUAAGAUGUUUAUAUUUUAGAGAGAGACUGGUUGUGUAAAAGAAUGUGGGCAUGUUCUUUAUUUAGGAUACUCAAAAGAGGAGAGAUCCUUAGGAUGUGUUUUCAGAGCUAUAACCUAAAUCACCCCCCUCCUUUGCAAAGAAAAAUCUUUAUUUUAAACCCACACAAAGAAUUUUAGAAAUAUCCUUGUUGAAACUGAUUUAUUUAAUAAACAUUCUGAAGUCUUCAUUCUUCAAAAGUUAAGGAAAACAUUUAUUGAUGGGAAGUAUUUUGCAGAAUAUAUUGGUUCCUUCAACACACAAAUGAAAGCUUUUGUUUUCCCUCAAAUGCUUCAAAUGGUAAAAGCUUCUUCUGAGAUGUAUAUCUGUGAAUAUUUUAUACCUACAGUAGAAUCUCAGAGUUAUGGAAAUGAGAGUUACAAACUGACCAGUCAACCAUACAACUCAUUUGGAACUGGAGGUAUACAAUCAAGCAGCAAAGCAAAGCAAAAGCAAAAGGAAAAAGCAAAUACUGUACAGUACAGUACUAUGUUAAAUGUAAACUACUAAGGAAAAGUUGAAAAAAAUAUUUGACAAGGUAAGGAAACCAUUACUGUACUUGUUUCAUUUAAAUUAAGAUGGUUAAAAUCAGCAUUUUCUUCUGCACAGUAAAGUUUCAAAGCUGUAUUAAGUAUUAUGUCAAUGUUCAGUUGUAAAUUUUUGAAACCAUAAGGUUUGUUCUCAGUUACAAACAUUUCAGAGCGAUGAACAAUCUCCAUUCCUGAAGUGUUUGUAACCCUGGGGUUCUACUGCAAAUGCAAGUCUUCAUAUAAUAACACUCUGAUAUCAGUAUCUGAAUAUUAAUAUACUUUAUGAACAUAGGAAGCUUGUUUGAUGUUAUAACUCAAUAAUAAUGUAAGAAGCCAUGUGAACAUGAAAUACAUAUAUGAAUUGGAGAAUUAACUAGUUAUCUGGCAACUUUUAAGCAACUUCUUUACCAAACUCAGGAAGAGAAGAAAAUCCUCCCCUCCCCCAAGAUUAGAUUGAUAAGAAGAGAACACAUUCUCUGAUGACAAGUUAAGUUUAAAGACGCUCUUUAAGGAUAACUUAUAUUUAAACAGACCAUUUUAAGAGCUGAAAGAUCUUUUUAUAGGACAUAGGAGCAUUUGGGCUCACUUGAAUUUCAACUCACAUUACACCCUAAAAGAACCAAAGGGAUCUCUCAGAAAAUAAACUGAACAGAGUAAAAACUCCAUCUUCAAAGAUGUUCUAAGGAAUUCCCACCAAAAAGACAAAGGCAAUAUAAUCCUAAAGUUGAAGAAUUACAAUCCUGAUGCAUAUGCAUUAGGAGAUUGCAUAUUCAUAAGCUGAAGAUGCCACCAAGAUCAUCUCCUGAAGCAGUCAAACAAAUGAAAGGUGACAGAAGCUGGUAUAUUAAUUUACUGGACCUCUUGAAAUGUGUGUCUUUCUCCUUCAGUGAGACUGUGGAAUAAGUAUAUAUUCCUCUCAAUUGAGACAUGCACUCCUAUGCUUAUAUGUUUUUAUUUUCUAAUCCCUAAUCGUAUUAUAUUUACACAUACUGCUUAUAAAGUCACACACUCUUACACACACUUAAACUCUCAGCACUCAUCUUGGCACACCCUGUUCAUCUCAUCACAUCUUUAAAACAAACCCUCGAUAAGCAAGCAAACAGCAGCAACAAGACAGAAAGAAAGAAGCCAGUACAUUGAAUCAACACCACCUUCCAAACCCAGCACUUCUUCACCAUGACUCCAUUACUGAAACUUCAGCAUCACUUGCGAGAGGAAGUUUGCAAAAGCACUGCCUAGAGAUUAGAUUUAAUAUUUCUUGUUAAUUUUAAUGGAAUACUGAAGUGCUACUGUAAUUUAAGGUAUUCCCAGCUUCUCCUGUAAAAAAAAAACAGAUUAUUUAGACUAUGUACUCCUGGGGAGGAGACAUGCUAAUCUUGGUAAACAAAUGAAUAGUGGGAUUUAAUUUGAAGGUAAAAUUCUUAAUAUUUAAUUUGCGUGCCUCAAGACUGGUCCUUAAAUGGCUUCUUUUCAGUAAGAAUUAAAACCUUCUUCAGUUUAAUAGAAUUUAGUUAAAAUCACUUACAUUUGCCCAUUUAUAAACUGUUUAAAUUAUCCAUACUAAACCAAAUAAGAUUCACCAACCUUUCAAACAAAGUUUCAUUGCCCAACUAUAACAUGUUUUAUUUAUUAAUGAUCAAUUAAUACAGGACUCUGCUGAUCUUGGGAAUAAUGUACUUUGCUCUUAUCUCAACUAGAGAAGAUAGUGCCCACCAGAGCAGAUCUUCUCUUGAGGUGUAAUCUCUGUUGAAAGAUCUCCACAGAGAGACAUACAGAAGAGCCUGUAGUGGAAGUAACCAUUGUUUAUUGCUUGUGUUCUGUUUUUGUUUCAUUUUGUUCAAUUAUUGUCUUCCUUUCUUUCUCUUUCUUUAUAAUAAAAUAGUCACAGUCUG